rnacentral:rRNA from 1 species
AACUACGAGCACAGCUUAAAACCCAAAGGACUUGACGGUGUCCCACCCUACUAGAGGAGCCUGUUCUAUAACCGAUAAUCCACGUUAUACCCCACCAUCUCUCGCUUUUCAGCCUGUAUACCUCCGUCGCAAGCCUGCCAUGUGAACGCACAAUAGCAAGCUUAAGGACUUUAGCGCCAAUACGUCAGGUCAAGGUGCAGCUCAUGAAAUGGAACAUAAUGGGCUACAAUUUCUAUCUUAGAACAAACGAAAGACUACAUGAAACUUAGUCAUGAAGGCGGAUUUAGCAGUAAAUAGGAAACAGAAAGCCCCAUUUAACCCGGCCCUGGGACGCGUACACACCGCCCGUCACCC